rnacentral:tRNA from 1 species
UCCCUUGUGGCUCAGAUGGUAAAGCAUCUGCCUACAAUGUAGGAGACCUGGGUUCGAUCCCUGGGUCGGGAA